rnacentral:rRNA from 1 species
GAUGAACGCUGGCGGCGUGCUUAACACAUGCAAGUCGAACGCAGAAACCGCUACGGUGGGGGAUGAGCGGUGAAGGGGGGAGUAACACGAGGGCAACAUGCCCCCGGCUCUGGGACAACUCUAAGAAAUUGGGGCCAAUACCGGAAGUGACUGCUGGCCGCAUGGGCUGGGGGUGGAAAGGGUUUGCGGCUGGGGUUGGGCUCGUGGCCGAACAGCCUGUAGGUGGGGUAGUGGGCUACCAAGGCGCCGACGGGGAGCCGGCCUGGGAGGGUGACCGGCCACACUAGGACUAAGGCACGGCCCAGACUGCUACGUGAGGCAACAGUGGGGAGUAUUGCGCAAUGGGCGGGAGCCUGACGCGGCGGUGCCGCGUGGGGAAUAACCUCCUUCUAGUUGUGAACCUCUUUCUACGGAGACGUGGCGCAAUUGACGGUACCUGCACAAGAAGCACCGGCCAACUACGUG